AGUGAACGCUGGCGGUAGGCCUAACACAUGCAAGUCGAACGGCAGCACAGGAGAGCUUGCUCUCUGGGUGGCGAGUGGCGGACGGGUGGGGAAUACAUCGGAAUCUACUUUUUCGUGGGGGAUAACGUAGGGAAACUUACGCUAAUACCGCAUACGACCUACGGGUGAAAGCAGGGGACCUUCGGGCCUUGCGCGAUUGAAUGAGCCGAUGUCGGAUUAGCUAGUUGGCGGGGUAAAGGCCCACCAAGGCGACGAUCCGUAGCUGGUCUGAGAGGAUGAUCAGCCACACUGGAACUGAGACACGGUCCAGACUCCUACGGGAGGCAGCAGUGGGGAAUAUUGGACAAUGGGCGCAAGCCUGAUCCAGCCAUACCGCGUGGGUGAAGGAGGCCUUCGGGUUGUAAAGCCCUUUUGUUGGGAAAGAAAUCCAGCUGGCUAAUACCCGGUUGGGAUGACGGUACCCAAAGAAUAAGCACCGGCUAACUUCGUGCCAGCCGCCGCUGUAA
rnacentral:rRNA from 1 species